rnacentral:tRNA from 1 species
AGUUAAUUAGCUAUUAUAAGUUUAUAUUUUGAAAGUAUAAGAAAGAAUAAAUGUAUUCUAUUAACUU